UCAGAGUUUGGAUCCUGGCUCAGAGUGAACGCUGGCGGCAGGCCUAACACAUGCAAGUCGAACGGCAGCACAGAGGAGCUUGCUCCUUGGGUGGCGAGUGGCGGACGGGUGAGGAAUGCAUCGGAAUCUGCCUAUUUGUGGGGGAUAACGUAGGGAAACUUACGCUAAUACCGCAUACGUCCUACGGGAGAAAGUGGGGGACCUUCGGGCCUCACGCAGAUAGAUGAGCCGAUGCCGGAUUAGCUAGUUGGCGGGGUAAAGGCCCACCAAGGCGACGAUCCGUAGCUGGUCUGAGAGGAUGAUCAGCCACACUGGAACUGAGACACGGUCCAGACUCCUACGGGAGGCAGCAGUGGGGAAUAUUGGACAAUGGGCGCAAGCCUGAUCCAGCCAUGCCGCGUGUGUGAAGAAGGCCUUCGGGUUGUAAAGCACUUUUGUCCGGAAAGAAAAGCGCUCGAUUAAUACUCGGGUGUUAUGACGGUACCGGAAGAAUAAGCACCGGCUAACUUCGUGCCAGCAGCCGCGGUAAUACGAAGGGUGCAAGCGUUACUCGGAAUUACUGGGCGUAAAGCGUGCGUAGGUGGUUUGUUAAGUCUGAUGUGAAAGCCCUGGGCUCAACCUGGGAACUGCAUUGGAAACUGGCUUACUAGAGUGCGGUAGAGGGGUGUGGAAUUCCCGGUGUAGCAGUGAAAUGCGUAGAUAUCGGGAGGAACAUCUGUGGCGAAGGCGACACCCUGGACCAGCACUGACACUGAGGCACGAAAGCGUGGGGAGCAAACAGGAUUAGAUACCCUGGUAGUCCACGCCCUAAACGAUGCGAACUGGAUGUUGGGGGCAACUUGGCCCUCAGUAUCGAAGCUAACGCGUUAAGUCGCCGCCUGUAGAUGGCCC
rnacentral:rRNA from 1 species